rnacentral:ncRNA from 2 species
UACACUCUCCUUCGUUUACUUCGUAUAACCCCAAUAAUAUGGUUUGGGGGUUUCUACCAGCUCCCGAUAAGAGCUGAUUAUGAAGAGUUAUCCUAUUGUG